GGGGGCGAAACGGCUUCGACGGGGUUCGCCGCUCAAACAGGUGCAAGCCGAGGACGCUUAGUCACCUCGUUAAAUAAUCAGAGCAACUAAAUUUAACUGCGGAAUCUAACUUCGCACUCGCUGCCUAAUUAGGCAGCCGUCCGCCGGAGGCUCCGCCUGCGGUUUCCGGGUCGGGCGUCACUUUGCGGGCUGGCUUAGCGGAGCGCGCAAGCGCGGCUGAGACCGCUUAGCGAGAUACAUCAGCCUUGGCUCCUGAUAAAGCCCGCCCUUCGGCGUUUUUAGGAGCGAGAUUAAACGGAGGGAGACGCUUGUGGCGCCUGCUUGGGAGGGUUCUUCGGACGCGGGUUCAAUUCCCGCCGCCUCCACCA
rnacentral:tmRNA from 1 species